UGUUAAAGAUUUUAUCCAUUUUUAUCAUUAAAAAUUGGAGUAAUCGUCAGAUAACUUGAUAGUUGCACGUGGUAUGUCACUUGUACCUUAUGUUGUCAUACAAGGACAAAUUUUAGUAGUAGAAAUGGAUGAAAUUUUUAACA
rfam:Gossypium raimondii Chr02_contig_1478, whole genome shotgun sequence.